rnacentral:rRNA from 1 species
GACGAACGCUGGCGGCGUGCUUAACACAUGCAAGUCGAACGGAAAGGCCCUGCUUUUGUGGGGUGCUCGAGUGGCGAACGGGUGAGUAACACGUGAGUAACCUGCCCUUGACUUUGGGGUAACUUCAGGAAACUGGGGCUAAUACCGGAUAGGAGCUCCUGCUGCAUGGUGGGGGUUGGAAAGUUUCGGCGGUUGGGGAUGGAAUCGCGGCUUAUCCGCUUGUUGGUGGGGUAGUGGCUUACCAAGGCUGUGACGGGUAGCCGGCCUGAGAGGGUGGCCGGCCACAUUGGGACUGAGAGACGGCCCAGACUCCUACGGGACGCAGCAGUGGGGAAUAUUGCACAAUGGGCGGAAGCCUGAUGCAGCAACGCCGCGUGCGGGAUGACGGCCUUCGGGUUGUAAACCGCUUUCGCCUGUGACGAAGCGUGAGUGACGGUAAUGGGUAAAGAAGCACCGGCUAACUACGUG